rnacentral:rRNA from 1 species
CCUACGGGUUGCAGCAGUGGGGAAUAUUGCACAAUGGGCGCAAGCCUGAUGCAGCCAUGCCGCGUGUAUGAAGAAGGCCUUCGGGUUGUAAAGUACUUUCAGCGGGGAGGAAGGCGAUAAGGUUAAUAACCUUGUCGAUUGACGUUACCCGCAGAAGAAGCACCGGCUAACUCCGUGCCAGCAGCCGCGGUAAUACGGAGGGUGUAAGCGUUAAUCGGAAUUACUGGGCGUAAAGCGCACGCAGGCGGUCUGUCAAGUCGGAUGUGAAAUCCCCGGGCUCAACCUGGGAACUGCAUCUGAUACUGGCAAGCUUGAGUCUCGUAGAGGGGGGUAGAAUUCCAGGUGUAGCGGUGAAAUGCGUAGAGAUCUGGAGGAAUACCGGUGGCGAAGGCGGCUUACUGGUCUGCAACUGACGCUGAGGCGCGAGAGCGUGGGGAGCAAACAGGAUUAGAUACCCCAGUAGUC